rnacentral:lncRNA from 1 species
UUUCUAUAAUAUAAUAAAGGAAUGAGCUACACAGCCUAGUAAAAUCAAUUUAAACUUAAACCAACAGAAUUGAAAUAGAUGUAGAGAAAUUCCCCAUUUUUCCUCAAGGACUUCCCUCACCCAAAUCAUUCUCAAGUCUAUCUCAUACUCAGCCCAACACCUAUCCAUUUCUCUAACUUAGUACCCUUGUAUCAUGAAGAUUUAUAACAACAACUCUGUGCUUCCACUCCAACCUGCAACUUCUCGAUUUUGAUUUUUUUUCUCACUUGCAGAUUUCCUGUCUUUUUCUCUUUUUUCUGGCCAAUUUCAAUCACUUCUCUCUUUUUUUCAGCCAAU